rnacentral:lncRNA from 1 species
UUAACAGAUAACACCUCUCAAAAAAAUAAGUAAGGCUUAGUUUGGUAUUGAGAUCUAUCUAACAUUAUUAGAUAAAAUGAAGUUGUAAAAAAAACGUAUAGGGAUAUAUUUCUGCGUUCUUCGGUGGAACCGUAGAAAAUAUAUCAUAACCGACUCAGCGUAAUAUGUGGAACGCAAUAUUACGUACGAGUAUUUUUUCAUCGUCGUUUCUCACCGCAUGCAACGUAAUCUCUACGCUAUUCCAAAGCCUAAGUCUCUCAAAAAACAAC